rnacentral:lncRNA from 1 species
CCUGGAUGUAAGACAUGGAGUCAAAGGAGAUUAUUUGGAACUCUAUGGUUUAAUGACUGCCCUGUUGGAUUUUGAAUUUGCUUGGGGGCUGUAGCUCCUUAGUUUGGCUAAUUUCACCCACUUGUAAUUGAUAUAUUUACACUGGAUUCCAUCUUGCUUUUUAUUUUCCAGGCUCAUAGGUGGAAGGGGCUUGCCUUAUCUCAGGGAGCCACAGUGAAAGAAACCCAGGACCCGACAAGACAACAGAAGGGUAAUAAUUUGUGCCUGCCAGGCUCCUGGUCUCUCUUCUGUGGAAUUUGGCUGAGCUGACAGUAAAAAUCAACUAUUUAUCUCUUUUUUUCUCUGCAAAAUUUUGUUUAAUAUGAGAAAAGAAGUUGCAUGAAUAGUCUUGGGUAUAGCAAUGCUGUUGUACUUUAUGGUAUAAAUAUUCAUAUUGUUUGAUUCCUAUCUUACCCAAAAUAGUCUGUGAUAGUUAAUAUUGAUUAUCAACCUGAUUGGAUUGAAGGAUGCAAAAGAUUGUCGUUGGAUGUGUCUGUGAGGGUAUUGCCAAAAGAGAUUAACAUUUGAGUCAGUGAGUUGGGAAAUGUUGAACCACCCUGAAUCUGGAUGGGCACUAUCUAAUUAGCUGCCCAUGCAGCUAGGAUAAAAGCAGGCAAAGAAAUAUGGGAAGACUAGACUGGCUUAGUCUUUUGGCCUACAUCUUUCUCCCAUGCUGGAUGCUUCCUGUCCACGAAAAUUGAACUCCAGGUUUUCAGCUUUUUGACUUUUGAACCAUCAACCAUAGACUGAAGGCUGCACUGUCAGCUUCCCUACCUUUGAGAUUUUGGGACUUGGACUGUUUUCCUUUCUCCUCAGCUUGCAGAGGGCCUAUUGUGGAAAUUCCCCUUGUGAUUGCAUGAGUCACUACUCCUAAGUAAAUUCCCCUUUAUAUACAUCUAUCCUAUUAGUUCUGUCCCUCUAGAGAGUCUUGACUAAUACACAGCUUUUCCUUUCUUUGUCUUUCUGUGUUCUUCUAUCAUAAAAAGGGAUAUUACAGGGCAGAACAUGGGCUGAAAAUCACUGUAAUCCCAUUUUUCGAACUGGCCCUGCAGACUGGUCAGUUUUGCCAUUCUGAUAGGAAUUGUGUGUAAAAUUUGCUGUGGACCCCCAAAAUGAAAACUGGAUGAGUUUCCCCUCUUGUCUUGUUUUAUGUCCUUGAAGGUUUGACUUGUGACAAAGUAGGAGCACUCUUUGGCUCUCAACCAUAUGUGGGGGAGGGGCAUGAUUUUUUGGUCACAUUUGGUGGCUAAUCUGAAAAGAUUAGGAA